AAACAACAAAACAUGUGUUAAGGACUGACUUCCAUCCAUCCUUUCUCUCCUAUCCUCCUUCUUCCAUUCUUCCCCAUCUAGCACUCCACCCUUCUCUGCCUUCCUUCCUCAGUUACUGGACAACCUCAAAUAUUCCCUGAUGACUGAUUUUUUCUGCUGAAACCAAGUAGCGCAUGGAGUUUCUUACAGGAGGAGCCUUUGAAAAGUUCAUGGAAAAUGUGUAUUAUGAAAAAAAACUAUGCAUGGAUUUAUUUGUUUUUGCACCAAAAUAAACUCAUACUAAACUUAAUAUAGCAUGUCUGAACAGGAUCUAGUUUAAAGUCCUAAGAAGGAUAAGACAUCAAUUUGAAAAGAGCCCUUAUCAGAGCAACAUGAAUUCAGCUAAAAUUGAAGAAAUAACAAGACAUGAAAUUUAUGGUGAAGCUUAAGUGGAAGAACAGUGAAACUAUUGAUGUUUUACAAAAAGUUUAUGGGUACAAUGCUUCAAAGACAUUAGCAGCCUACAAAUGGAUAACUCAUUUUAGGAGGGAUGAGGUGAUAUUGAAGAUGAAGCCUGCGACAACACACCAUUCACAUCAAUUUGCAAGAAAAAAUGUAAUUUUCUUCACGCCCUAAUUGAAGAGGACUGACAAUUAACAGCAGAAACAAUAGCCAACACUACAGAUAUCUCAAUUGGUUCAGCUAACACAAUUCUGACUAAAAAAUUAAAGUUGAACAAACUUUCCACUGGAUGGGUGCCAGAACCAUUGUGCCCAGAUCAGCUGCAGACAAGAGCAGAGCUUUCAAUGGAAAUUUUAAACAAGUAGGAUCAAGAUCCUAAAACAUUUAAUCGAAGAAUUGUAAUAGGAGAUGAAACAUCGUUUACCAGUACAAUCCUGAAGACAAAGCACAAUCAAAGCAAUAGCUACCAAGAGGUGAAAGUGGUCCAGUCAAAGCAAAAGUGGACUGGUCAAGAGUAAAGGAGGGCUGAGCACAGUGGCUCAUAUCUGUAAUCCUAGCACUUUGGGAGACCAAGGCAGGAGGAUCACUUCUCAGAAAUUCCAGACAAGCCUGACAACAUAGUAAGACCUUGUCUCUAUAAAAAAACUUAAAAAUUAGCCAGCCAUGGUGGUAUGUGGCUAUAGUCCCAGCUACUUGGGUGGCUGAGGUGAGAGGAUCGCUUGAGCCCAGGAGGUUGAGGCUGCAGUGAGCCGUGAUCGCGCCACUGCACUCCAGCCUGGGUGACAGAGCAAAACCCUGUCUCAGAAAAAAAAACAAAAAACAAAAAAAAACGAGCAAAGGUGAUGGCAACAUUUUUGGGGGAUGCUCAAUGCACUUUGCUUAUUGACUUUCUGAAGGACCAAAGAAUGACAAUAUUGCCAGGCAUGGUGGCUCAAUGCCUGUAAUCCCAGCUACUUGAGAGGCUGAGGCAGGAUAAUCGCUUCAAUCUGAGAGGCGGACGUUGCAGUGAGAUGAGAUCACGCCACUGCACAUUAGCCUGGGCGACAGAGUGAGACUUUGUCUCAAAAAAAAAAUGACAAUAUUAUGACAAUGCUUAUUAUCAGGGUUUUGAGAAAGUUAGCCAGUUAGCAGAAAAAUGCCUGGAAAGCUUCACCAGAGAGUUCUUCUCCACCACGACAAUGCUCCUGCUCAUUCCUCUCAUCAGUCAAGGGACAUUUGUGAGCAUUUUGAUGAGAACUCAUUAUACGUCUACCUUACAAUCCUGAUUUAGCUCCUUCUUACUUCUUUUUGCCUCAAAAAAAUCUUUAAAGGGCACCAAUUUUUCUUCAGUUGAUAAUGUAAAAAAGACUGCAUUGACAUGGUUAAAUUCCCAGGAUCCUCAGUUCUUUAGGGGUGGACUGAAUGGCUGGUAUCACUGCUUACAAAAGUAUCUUGAGCCUGAUAAAGUAUGUUGAGAA
rnacentral:lncRNA from 10 species